AAAAUUUGGUUCUGGUUUAGAGUUAACUUUUUCUUUUAGAAAUACAUGAUAGUCUUUCGUAGUUACAAACAGUAAAGCUUCUAUAACCAUUUUAACAAUGCUUUUAUUAACUUUACUAAUAUUAAAUAAAUUAAUGAUAAACUCUUGUAACUUCAGUAUUUAAUAUUAAACAAUAAGGAAACUUAGAUUUAGAAAUAGAACAAAAGGCUAGCUAAAUUUGUGCCAGCAGCUGCGGUUAUACAAAAGGCCUAAGUUAACUUUGUCGGUAAAAGGUAGUUAUCUAGCCGUUUAAUCAAGUUAAAGAUAGUAAAAAAGUAAAAUUUAAACACUCCAAUAAACCAAAAUUGAUUGCAAAUAAGAGAAGCUACUAAAAUUAAAUCUAAAACUGGGAUUAGAUACCCCACUAUUUUAAAAUUAAAUUCAAACACCAGAGUACUACGAGCACAUAGCUUAAAACUCAAAGAACUUGGCGGUACUUUAUAUUUAGCUAGGGGAACCUGUCCUAUAACUGAUAACCCGCGAUACACCUUACUUUCUUUAAGCUUUUAGUUAGCUUGUAUACUUCCGUCAUAAGUUAGUUCUUAAAGAUAUAGAAACUAACUACUUAAUAUAUUAUAUUUUGAUGUCAGGUCGAAGUGCAGCUCAUAAGAAAGAAGAGAUGGGUUACAAUUUAAACUUAAAACGGAAAAAAGAAUGAAAAACUUUUUAAAGCUGGACUUAGUAGUAACUUUAAAUUAUGAACAUUAAACUGAAUGUAACUCUAAAGUGUGCACAUAUUGCCCGUCACUCUCCUUAUACAAUAGGAGAUAAGUCGUAACACAGUAGGAGUAGCGGAAGCUGCCCCU
rnacentral:ncRNA from 1 species